AUCGAGAGAAUUGACGAUCUAUAUAAUUCAGCCGCCCACUUUCCACCUCCAAGCUGGUCUCGUUUUCUCUUUAACCGCCGUCACUUUCCCGGGAAAACAAACGAAAAAGGGCAGAGAAAGUUUUCAGGAGCGAAGAAAUCCAAGGGUUUUAGAUAACGAAAGUCUCCUCCAUCGGUUGAAGAUGACUCAAUCCGGAAAAUUGAUGCCGAAUCUCGAUCAACAGAGCACCAAAAUGCUUAAUCUUACUGUGUUGCAGAGAAUAGAUCCUUUCAUUGAAGAGAUUUUAAUCACCGCUGCCCAUGUGACAUUCUACGAGUUUAAUAUCGAAACCAAUCAAUGGAGUCGCAAGGAUGUAGAAGGAUCUCUUUUCGUAGUGAAGAGAAAUGCUCAACCUCGGUUCCAAUUCAUUGUGAUGAAUCGACGAAACACCGAUAAUCUAGUGGAGAA
rnacentral:misc_RNA from 1 species